rnacentral:misc_RNA from 1 species
UUGAGUGUAAACUCUUUCAAGAUUGUCUGACACUUUUCACGCCUCCUGGGAAGGUCUGAGAAAGGCCAAGCUACCGCUCAAGACCUCACUUCAGUGGCGCGCACCUCUUCACAAUGUUCAAACGAGCCGUGAUCCGUGAUGUCAGUCGCGCUGGCCGUUGAACGGUUCGGUUCUGGCGAUAGCGCCAGCAUCCAGUAGCGGCUGCCCCCUAUUGGCAUCCGUGAAGUUGGGAAAGGACACCAAAUGCUUGGAAAAUGGCCAUCUGGACGAGCCAAAUGGCCAAAAUUUGGUGGUUAAUUCAACUUCACGCGCGCUCCA